rnacentral:tRNA from 1 species
GAGGAUAUAGCUCAGUGGUAGAGCAUAUGCCUGGAAGGUACGAGGCCCUGGGUUCAAUCCCCAGUCCCUCU